GGCCGCCUGGCGAAAUGGCAUCGCGUCUGACUACGACCUUCGUAGAGUCUAAUCAGGAGAUUGCAGGUUCGACCCCUGCGGUGGUCA